rnacentral:rRNA from 1 species
GACUACAGGGGUAUCUAAUCCUGUUUGCUCCCCACGCUUUCGCGCCUCAGCGUCAGUCAAGUGCCAGAAGGCCGCCUUCGCCACAGACCUUCCUCCUGAUAUCUACGCAUUUCACCGCUACACCAGGAAUUCCGCCUUCCCCUCACCGACUCAAGUAAUGCAGUUUCCAAGGCAGCUCUACAGUUGAGCUGUAGCAUUCCACCCCAGACUUACACCACCGCCUACGCGCCCUUUAAGCCCAGUAAUUCCGAACAACGCUCGCCACCUCUGUCUUACCGCGGCUGCUGGCACAGAGUUAGCCGUGGCUUAUUCGUCAGGUACCAUCACCAUUGUCCCUGACAAAAGGAGUUUACAACCCGAAGGCCGUCAUCCUCCACGCGGCGUCGCUGCAUCAGGGUUUCCCCCAUUGUGCAAUAUUCCCCACUGCAGCCUCCCGUAGG